CAAAAAGCAGCCUUCAUUGCUGUGUGAUUAUUCCACUGUUGAUACUAUGCUUCAGUACUGAGAAUUUGUGCGAUUAAAGGUGGAUUCUUAAAGCAGGAAGCCAGUGGGGUUUAUUCGCUCAUAAGACUGAUUUUGUGUUUGGCUGCCCUUUAUUUUGGCUGCAUCACGGGCAGUAGUCACACCCGUACCAGGUAGGUCGACCUACUGACUGGUCCUGGCUGGCCUGGGAUUUUCUCAGUUUAGCACAGAAUGUCUCAUGUCCUGGGAAAGCCCUCAGUUGUGGGCAAGCUGAGAGGGUUGCUCACCUCGGAGCAGACUUUGCAAGGAGCGCACCACUAUGGGCUGCUAGCCACCGCCUCCUCCAGCGUUCGUCCCGACAGUUGGCAGCAGAUCGGAUAUGGCAGCUCAUUUUAAGUUGUUUACAUAGAGAAAUUGGAAGAGCGU